GGGGAUUUAGCUCAGUGGUAGAGCGCUUGCCUAAGAGACGCAAGGCCCUGGGUUCGGUCCCCAGCUCCG
rnacentral:tRNA from 1 species